GAUGAACGCUGGCGGCGUGCCUAAUACAUGCAAGUCGAGCGAAUGGAUUAAGAGCUUGCUCUUAUGAAGUUAGCGGCGGACGGGUGAGUAACACGUGGGUAACCUGCCCAUAAGACUGGGAUAACUCCAGGAAACCGGGGCUAAUACCGGAUAAUAUUUUGAACUGAAUGGUUCAAAAUUGAAAGGCGGCUUCGGCUGUCACUUAUGGAUGGACCCGCGUCGCAUUAGCUAGUUGGUGCGGUAACGGCUCACCAAGGCAACGGUGCGUAGCCGGCCUGGGAGGGUGAUCGGCCACACUGGGACUGAGGCACGGCCCAGACUCCUACAGGAGGUAGCAGUAGGGAAUCGUCCGCAAUUGGCGAAAGUCUGACGGAGCAAAGCCGCGUGAGUGAUGAAGGCUUUCGGGUCGUAAAACUCUGUUGUUAGGGAAGAACAAGUGCUAGUUGAAUAAGCUGGCACCUUGACGGUACCUAACCAGAAAGCCACGGCUAACUACGUGCCAGCAGCCGCAGUAA
rnacentral:rRNA from 1 species